AACUAACCAGCAUGGGGAAAGUGGGGUGGCUCGGGUUCCAUAGCCUAGCAGGUGGUAGUGAGACCUGCCUUGCUCUCAUGCUCUCAACCUAGCGGGAUACCAUCCUACGGCCUGCCACUGGCAUCGAGCUGAGGCAGCCAGCCAAAUCACAAGCAGUUUGUCUUUGGACUGCAAUAUAACCCCAGGCCAUAAAACUGUGGCUCCCAGGUGAAACCCCUCCCAGCCCAAUUCCAGGAUGGGGAGGUUCCCGAAUCCCAUAACCUUGGCUGGAGCCAAUGCCACACUUGCUUAUCAGUUCUGGCCUCGUUCCUGGGACUGUGCAUAGUCUGCUAAAAGAUGAGAAUUUCACAAAAUGCCACGUUAUCACAAAUUUCUGAAGAGGCUGACAGGUUAUUAAUCAGGAUAAACCACAUUGAAUAAAGUAUUCCUGUUAAGAACUCUCUGUAUCCCUUCCUUUUGAACACUGCUCCAGCCUCUUGGGACUCCAGGACAUCUUCUACAUAAUCUCAUGUCUUUUAGACACGUCAGCUCACUACGGUAAUAAAACACAUACCACUACAUUAAGAAACUUUUUUCUGUGAAUGUCUUUACACUUGGUAACAGUAUGUGGAGAUUUUAACGUAAUGGAAAGAAGAUAAAAUUAGGAACAGUUAGAUUUGCAUUUUUAACCUAGCUUAGCUGCUAAUAAUGAGUAAUCAGGCACGCAAU
rnacentral:lncRNA from 1 species